rnacentral:sRNA from 18 species
GCUGCCGCAAAAUCGGCAGCCGGGCGUGAGAACCCGUGUAACUCAAUGGCGACACAACACGCGCCAGGCGUGUUUUUU